GGGGUUAUAGCUCAGUGGUAGAGCAUUCGAGUGCAAAUCGAGAGGUCCCCGAUUCAAACCCGGGCGUCCUUUUCUUCA
rnacentral:tRNA from 1 species